rnacentral:rRNA from 1 species
UUGGAUUCGACGCCCAGUACUCAACCAGGACCGAAGCGCCCGACGAAGCACGGCUCGAAUAGCCUUGCCGAUGAGCGUGCGGGUGGUGCAUGGCCGCCGUAGUUCGUGAGGUGACUUGUCUGGUUAAUUCCGACAACGAACGCAACCGCCCUGUUCGACUAUCACGAGGUCGGCGGAUCUCUCCGUUCCUCGUCCGCACUCGAAACUCGGACAGACAAACUCGCGGAGCGAACCGUUCGCAACCGAGAGGAAGCCACGGCGAUGGCAGGUCUGUGAUGCCCCUAGAAGCCCUGGGUUGCACACGUCAUACAAUGCCCGUCCGAACGCGCUUUUGCCAUGCCGAAAGGUAUCGCUUAAUCGUCGUAGAAGCGGGCCCGGUUGGGAUCGAGGAUUGCAACUGUUCCUCGUGAACGCGGAACGCCUCGUAGGGGCGGGUCAUCAACUCGCCCCGAAUAAGUCCCUGCCCUUUGUACAC